rnacentral:lncRNA from 1 species
UAAAUGUUAAAUGUAAAUGUUAAAUGUAAAUGUUAAAUCUAAAUGUUAAAUGUAAAUGUUAAAUCUAAAUGUUAAAUGUAAAUGUUAAAUCUAAAUCUAAAUCUUAAAUCUAAAUGUGUUGGGCGACACUAAAUAUUUAGCUAAUAUGCAAAUUCACGGUCGGAAACUGGAAGUGCCAAAAUAAAAGCUCCAGAAGGUCAUAUUGAUGAUUCUUGUGUCGAAGAAAACGAAUUCAAACCAAUUUAAGGGGGGAACAAAUACUUGGGGUGACGUUUCGUGUUAAUAACUACCUACAAUAGCAACAGCAACAACAAAAACUUUAUCAGAAAGACUCGAGUUUUCAGUGUCGCUUCUCCGUGUGGCGCGGACACUGUACGAACACACGCACACACACAUGCAGGCGCACACAUGAUACUGCUCCUUUGGGGCGGACGCUGCCACAGCCACCGAUGAAGUUGCAGAGGGAGGAAGACUUUUUGGAUAGACAUUUAGAUUUAACAUUUAGAUUUAGAUUUAGAUUUAACAUUUAGACUUAUAUUUAACAUUUAGAUUUAACAGCCCAUUAUAAAAAACAACAGCAAGAUUUGGUCACAUUUAGCUUCAAACAGCAUUUAAAACAGUGAUGUGAAUUUUCGGCAGUCAACAUUUAAAUACUAAAACUAAAUGUUAAAUGUUAAAUAUAAAUGUUAAAUAUAUAUGUUUAAUCUAAAUGUUAAAUAUAAAUCUAAAUGUUAAAUCUAAAUCUAACUGUUAAAUGUAAAUGUUAAAUGUAAAUGUUAAAUCUAAAUGUUAAAUGUAAAUGUUAAAUGUAAAUGUUAAAUGUAAAUGUUAAAUCUAAAUCUAAAUGUUAAAUGUAAAUGUUAAAUCUAAAUGUUUAAUGUAAAUGUUAAAUAUAAAUCUAAAUGUUAAAUCUAAAUCUAACUGUUAAAUAUAAAUGUUAAAUGUUAAAUGUAAAUGUUAAAUGUAAAUGUUAAAUGUAAAUGUUAAAUGUAAAUGUUAAAUGUAAAUGUUAAAUCUAAAUCUAAAUGUUAAAUCUAAAUGUUAAAUCUAAAUCUAAAUGUUAAAUCUUAAUGCUAAAUAUAAAUGUUAAAUAUAUAUGUUUAAUCUAAAUGUUAAAUGUUAAAUGUAAAUGUUAAAUCUAAAUGUUAAAUGUAAAUGUUCAAUGUAAAUGUUAAAUCUAAAUGUUUAAUGUAAAUGUUAAAUGUAAAUGUUAAAUCUAAAUCUAAAUGUUAAAUAUAAAUAUAAAUGUUAAAUCUAAAUGUUAAAUGUAAAUGUUAAAUCUAAAUGUUAAAUGUAAAUGUUAAAUCUAAAUGUUAAAUGUAAAUGUUAAAUCUAUAUUUUAAAUGUAAAUGUUAAAUCUAAAUGUUAAAUGUAAAUGUUAAAUCUAAAUCUAAAUGUUAAAUCUAAAUGUGUUGGGCGACACUAAACAUUUAUCUAAUAUGCAAAUUCACGGUCGGAAACUGGAAGUGCCAAAAUAAAAGCUCCAGAAGGUCAUAUUGAUGAUUCUUGUGUCGAAGAAAACGAAUUCAAACCAAUUUAAGGGGGGAACAAAUACUUGGGGUGACGUUUCGUGUUAAUAACUACCUACAAUAGCAACAGCAACAACAAAAACUUUAUCAGAAAGUCUUCGAGUUUUCAGUGUCGCUUCUCCGUGUGGCGCGGACACUGUACGAACACACGCACACACACAUGCAGGCGCAAACAUGAUACUGCUCCUUUGGGGCGGACGCUGCCACAGCCACCGAUGAAGUUGCAGAGGGAGGAAGACUUUUUAGAUAGACAUUUAGAUUUAACAUUUACAUUUAGAUUUAUAUUUAACAUUUAGACUUAUAUUUAACAUUUAGAUUUAUAUUUAACAUUUAGAUUUAACAGCCCAUUAUAAAAAACAACAGCAAGAUUUGGUCACAAUUAGCUUCAAACAGCAUUUAAAACAGUGAUGUGAAUUUUCAGCAGUCAACAUUUAAAUACUAAAACUAAAUGUUAAAUGUUAAAUCUAAAUGCUAAAUAUAAAUGUUAAAUAUAUAUGUUUAAUCUAAAUGUUAAAUAUAAAUAUAAAUGUUAAAUCUAAAUGUUUAAUGUAAAUGUUAAAUCUAAAUCUAAAUGUUAAAUCUAAAUCUAACUGUUAAAUGUAAAUGUUAAAUGUAAAUGUUAAAUGUAAAUGUUAAAUGUAAAUGUUAAAUGUAAAUGUUAAAUGUAAAUGUUAAAUCUAAAUGUAAAUGUUAAAUGUAAAUGUUAAAUCUAAAUCUUAAUGUUAAAUCUUAAUGCUAAAUAUAAAUGUUAAAUAUAUGUUAAAUCUAAAUGUUAAAUGUUAAAUGUAAAUGUUAAAUGUAAAUGUUAAAUCUAAAUUUUAAAUGUUAAAUGUAAAUGUUAAAUCUAAAUCUAAAUGUUAAAUCUAAAUGUAAAAUCUAAAUCUAAAUGUAAAAUCUAAAUCUAACUGUUAAGUCUAAAUGUUUAAUGUUAAAUGUAAAUGUUAAAUGUAAAUGUUAAAUCUAAAUCUAAAUGUUAAAUAUAAAUAUAAAUGUUAAAUAUAAAUGUUAAAUGUAAAUGUUAAAUGUGAAUGUUAAAUGUAAAUGUUAAAUCUAAAUGUUAAAUGUAAAUGUUAAAUGUAAAUGUUAAAUCUAAAUCUAAAUGAUAAAUCUAAAUGUUAAAUGUAAAUGUUAAAUCUAAAUGUGUUGGGCGACACUAAAUAUUUAUCUAAUAUGCAAAUUCACGGUCGGAAACUGGAAGUGCCAAAAUAAAAGCUCCAGAAGGUCAUAUUGAUGAUUCUUGUGUCGAAGAAAACAAAUUCAAACUAAUUUAAGGGGGGAACAAAUACUUGGGGUGACGUUUCGUGUUAAUAACUACCUACAAUAGCAACAGCAACAACAAAAACUUUAUCAGAAAGACUCGAGUUUUCAGUGUCGCUUCUCCGUGUGGCGCGGACACUGUACGAACACACACACACACACGCAGGCACACACAUGAUACUGCUCCUUUGGGGCGGAUGCUGCCACAGCCACCGAUGAAGUUGCAGAGGGAGGAAGACUUUUUAGAUAGACAUUUAGAUUUAACAUUUACAUUUAGAUUUAUAUUUAACAUUUAGACUUAUAUUUAACAUUUAGAUUUAUAUUUAACAUUUAGAUUUAACGGCCCAUUAUAAAAAAUAACAGCAAGAUUUGGUCACAUUUAGCUUCAAACAGCAUUUAAAAAAGUGAUGUGAAUUUUCGGCAGUCAACAUUUAAAUACUAAAACUAAAUGUUAAAUCUAAUUGCUAAAUAUAAAUGUUAAACACAUAUGUUUAAUCUAAAUGUUAAAUAUAAAUGUAAAUGUUAAAUCUAAUGUUAUUAAAGUUAAAUCUAAAUGUUAAAUGUAAAUGUUAAAUCUAAAUGUUAAAUGUAAAUGUUAAAUCUAAAUCUAAAUGUUAAAUCUAAAUGUUAAAUGUAAAUGUUAAAUCUAAAUGUAAAUGUUAAAUCUAAAUCUAAAUGUUAAAUCUAAAUGUUAAAUGUAAAUGUUAAAUAUAAAUGUUAAAUCUAAAUGUUAAAUGUAAAUGUUAAAUAUAAAUAUAAAUGUUAAAUCUAAAUAUAAAUGUUAAAUAUAAAUGUUAAAUGUUAAAUGUAAAUGUUAAAUCUAAAUUUUAAAUGUUAAAUGUAAAUGUUAAAUCUAAAUCUAAAUGUUAAAUCUAAAUAAUAAAUCUAAAUCUAAAUGUUAAAUCUAAAUGUUAAAUCUAAAUGUGUUGGGCGACACUAAAUAUUUAGCUAAUAUGCAAAUUCACGGUCGGAAACUGGAAGUGCCAAAAUAAAAGCUCCAGAAGGUCAUAUUGAUGAUUCUUGUGUCGAAGAAAACUAUUUCAAACCAAUUUAAGGGGGGAACAAAUACUUGUGGUGACGUUUCGUGUUAAUAACUACCUACAAUAGCAACAGCAACAACAAAAAAUUUAUCAGAAAG